rnacentral:rRNA from 1 species
GCAAGUCGAGGGGUAACGGGGUGCUUGCACCGCCGACGACCGGCGCACGGGUGCGUAACGCGUAUGCAACCUACCUUCUACAGGGGGAUAGUCAAUAGAAAUGUUGAAUAAUACCCCAUACGAUCUUAUUGUAUCAUUACAUUAAGAAGAAAGCUUCGGCGGUAGAAGAUGGGCAUGCGUCCUAUUAGUUAGUUGGUGAGGUAACGGCUCACCAAGACUACGAUAGGUAGGGGCCCUGAGAGGGGGAUC